ACCGUCUAUCUCCUGUACGUCUCUUCAUGGUGUAGAAGGAUCGAAAAAGAGAUAUAGAGGGCUUGACCCCAGCUUUAAAGCAGAGAACCAAAAAGUUGAUAAUAAAAUGAAAGGAGUUACAGAUGACACAGCAAAAGGGAAGAUUAAAAAAAUAAAAAAUCUCAACGAUAAAAGGGUAGAUAGGAAGUCUAAGUCCGGCUUUAAAGACUUCUUCAUACAAACUGAUCC
rnacentral:lncRNA from 1 species